UACAGGGGGGGCAAGCGUUGUUCGGAAUUACUGGGCGUAAAGGGCUCGUAGGCGGCCAACUAAGUCACACGUGAAAUCCCCGGGCUCAACCCGGGAACUGCGUCCGAUACUGGUAGGCUUGAAUUCGGGAGAGGGAUGCGGAAUUCCAGGUGUAGCGGUGAAAUGCGUAGAUAUCUGGAGGAACACCGGUGGCGAAGGCGGCAUCCUGGACCGAAAUUGACGCUGAGGCGCGAAAGCCAGGGGAGCAAACGGG
rnacentral:rRNA from 1 species